rnacentral:pre_miRNA from 2 species
GCCGGGAAGAGCAAGAAAGAGCGGGCCUAAGAGCAGUGGGAAUGGGAACAUGGAGGAAAGCCAUUCUAGAAAUUUCCCUCCCUCCAGCAGUGGAGGUGGGAGCUUCGGUUUGGUGUUUCCUGGUGCCUCCCAUUCCUAUCGUUCUUAAGCGCUCCUUGUUCUUCCUCUUGGUU